GAUGAACGCUGGCGGCGUGCUUAACACAUGCCAGUCGAACGAAGCACUUUAUUUGAUUUCCUUCGGGACUGAUUAUUUUGUGACUGAGUGGCGGACGGGUGAGUAACGCGUGGGUAACCUGCCUUGUACAGGGGGAUAACAGUUGGAAACGGCUGCUAAUACCGCAUAAGCGCACGGCAUCGCAUGAUGCAGUGUGAAAAACUCCGGUGGUAUAAGAUGGACCCGCGUUGGAUUAGCUAGUUGGUGAGGUAACGGCCCACCAAGGCGACGAUCCAUAGCCGACCUGAGGGGGUGACCGGCCACAUUGGGACUGAGACACGGCCCAAACUCCUACGGGAGGCAGCAGUGGGGAAUAUUGCACAAUGGGCGAAAGCCUGAUGCAGCGACGCCGCGUGAGCGAGGAAGUAUUUCGGUAUGUAAAGCUCUAUCAGCAGGGAAGAUAAUGACGGUACCUGACGAAGAAGCACCGGCUAAAUACGUG
rnacentral:rRNA from 1 species